CAGACUUUAAUAAUGUUAUGGUGGGUUUGAAGAUAAAAGAUACUGUGAAGUCAAUCAGGCUGAGGUGUUGCAGAAAAGGAUAUGUGGGAGUCAAGACACAAGCAUGGUGAAGAAUUUGAUGCCAUGUUUCAAACCUUGUCUGAUGUCGCAUACUAUGUUUUUCUCGUUAAGCCCCACACAGCCGCAAAAGUCUCAAUUUCUUCAGCCAAAGUUGUUUUAAUAGAGCCCAAAAUCUUCCAGAGAACCUGAAUUCCUUCUGUAUUCCUGAAUGUAUUCAUGAACCAGCACAUGGUUCUGUGCUGAGAGAGAAGAAAGCUAAACCCAGAAACCUAGUCCCCAAAGG